UACGGAGGGGGCUAGCGUUGUUCGGAAUUACUGGGCGUAAAGCGCACGUAGGCGGCUUUGUAAGUUAGAGGUGAAAGCCCGGGGCUCAACUCCGGAAUUGCCUUUAAGACUGCAUCGCUAGAAUUGUGGAGAGGUAAGUGGAAUUCCGAGUGUAGAGGUGAAAUUCGUAGAUAUUCGGAAGAACACCGGUGGCGAAGGCGACUUACUGGACACAUAUUGACGCUGAGGUGCGAAAGCGUGGGGAGCGAACAGG
rnacentral:rRNA from 1 species